CACAGACAGUGCGUCAGGAGGGUCUCGACCCGAAACACCGCCCAUUCCUUUUCUCCAGAGAUGCUGUCUGACCCGCUGAGAUACUCCAGCUUUUUGUGUCUAACCUCCACAGCACGUUUUUGUGUUUUACAGAAGCUUAUUAUUACUGCCUGAUGCCGUGUACGGUCGCGGUGUGAAGGAGCAGCUCUAUGCAUGUACGCUUGGGCCUUAGACGGUUAUAUAUGUGUGUUUUUAUAAUAUUCCUGCCCCAUCUCAACGUGGUGCUGCAGUACAGAAACUACACCAACCCGAGCAGGCGUUCACUCUCUCACGCCCGGCCUGCCUUCCGACUUGAUCAUUUUUGGGAGUCAGGAUUUUGACACCUCUGUUACUGAAUCCUUAAUGCCCCUGCCCAAGGGGACGGGAAGGAAGGGGGUGGGUGAGGAGACGAGGGGGUGGGGGGAUCUGCCACAGGGGGUUGUGACUAAGUCCAGUCAUUGUGGAAAUCUCUUCCACAUUUGCUCUCCCUCUCUAGAAGUGGCCUCCCUUCCUCCCACCGUCCUCUCCCCAUUGUGGCUACCCAGGUAUCCAAGGUGUGAGGUCUGCCUCCUUAUUCGCCAUUUUCCUUAUUCUAUAGAAGGAGGCCCUUCGGUCCAUCGAGUAACUGCAAGCUCGCGGCACGGUGCCGUUCCUUGCCCACAUCACCGCGUGCUGCCCCUGCUUCCAAAACCAUGAUGGUUUACAGCAGCAGCCCACCAACCCUUGUGUGUGUUUGGGAUGUGGGAGGAAAACAGAGCACCCAGGAAAAAACAAAUUGUUCAUAAAUUCAUACGUUCCAGGAGCAGAAUUAGGCCAUUCGACCCAUCAAGUCUACUCUGCCAUUCAAUCAUGGCUGAUCUAUCUCUCCCUCUCAACCCCAUUCUCCUGCCUUCUCCCCAUCACCCCUCACACCCGUGCUAAUCAAGAAUCUGUCUCCGCCUUAAAAAUAUCCACUGACUUGGCCUCUGCAGCAGUCUGUGGCAACGGGUUCCACAGAUUCACCACCCUCUGGCUAAAGAAAUUCCUCCUCAACUCCUUUCUAAAGGAACAGGGAGUACGUGCAAACUCCACGCAGACAGCCCUGAGGCCAGGGAUGAACUCGGGUCAUUGGAGUUUUGAGGCAGCGGCUCUGUUGCGCCAUGGUGUGGCCACAGAGGCCAAAAUAUAACCAUGUAUAUUGUGUGAUAGGCACUCCGAACCUCCCCCUGCCACUACUAGUCUCUCCCCACCACUCCCAGCCAGUCUCCGUCAUUCCACUCUGCUACAGGUUGCUCCUGGAUAUUCCCAGCUGCUCCCAUCCGUUCCCUCCCUGCUCCCAUCCUUUCCAGACCACUCCCGGUUGCUUCCCACCAAUCCCAGCAUCUCCUGAUUGCUCCUGGACAUCCCCAGUCACUGCCAGUUCCUUCCAUCUGCUCCUGAAUAGCCAACAGAGGUGAAUGCUGACCAUCCGUGGUCGCUGGGCUCUGUCUGGUAAGUGGAGAAAGCUUUGAAAGAUGAGAGUGUAAGAAAAUAACCCCAGAACCUGUGAGUAAUUCCCUGAUGUUUGGUGUCAUCGAGUUAGAGACACAGUGUGGAAACAGGCCCUUCGGCCC